rnacentral:rRNA from 1 species
UACGUAGGUGACAAGCGUUGUCCGGAUUUACUGGGCGUAAAGAGCGCGCAGGCGGUCGUUCAAGUCGAGUGUGAAAGCCCCCGGCUCAACUGGGGAGGGUCAUUCGAUACUGAUCGACUCGAAGGCAGGAGAGGGAAGUGGAAUUCCCGGUGCAGUGGUGAAAUGCGUAGAUAUCGGGAGGAACACCAGUGGCGAAGGCGACUUCCUGGCCUGUUCUUGACGCUGAGGCGCGAAAGCUAGGGGAGCAAACGGG